UACUCGAGUGGCGAACGGGUGAGUAACACGUGGGUGAUCUGCCCUUCACUUCGGGAUAAGCCUGGGAAACUGGGUCUAAUACUGGAUAGGACCAUCGUUUAGUGUCGGUGGUGGAAAGUUUUUUCGGUGGAGGAUGAGCUCGCGGCCUAUCAGCUUGUUGGUGGGGUAAUGGCCUACCAAGGCGACGACGGGUAGCCGGCCUGAGAGGGUGGACGGCCACAUUGGGACUGAGACACGGCCCAG
rnacentral:rRNA from 1 species